GGAAAUAACGGGGCUAGGGGCGCGGGAAGGCGGAGGGGGGGAGAGGGAAUGAGAGGUACAGGGCGCAAAGGGUGCGCAGGCGGAACGUGAAGGCAGGAGUGCAAUCCCAGGGCUUAACGGGGGAAGGGUGCGGGAAAGUACGGUGGUGGAGUAAGGCAGAGGGAGGUAGGAUUCGACGAGGAGCGGUGAAAUGCGUAGGGAUGAGGAUGAACGCCGAUGGAGAAGGCAGCCUCCUGGGCGAAUACUGACGCUCAUGCACGAAAGCGUGGGGAGCAAACAGGAUUAGAUACCCCAGUAGUC
rnacentral:rRNA from 1 species